GGUUCUGGUAAGUCUGGGUGCCACAUAGAAUGGCAUGUGGUGCCUCUAGACUUCUUCAUGGAAGAUUUCUUCUUCAGAGAUCUGAGAAAAUCUUGGUCUGACAGCAGACGGAACCUUAAAUGCCUACCUGUAGCCCCCUAACAACUGGACAACAACUGAUUUUGUUUAUUUAUUCAUAAGAGACACAGACAGAGGCAGAGACACAGGCAGAGGGAGAAGGAGGCUCCAAGCAGGGAGCCUGAUGCGGAACUCGAUCUCAGGACCCCGGGGUCACAACCUGAGCCCAAGGCAGAUGCUCAACCACUGAGCAACCCAGGGGGUAGGACCAAGGCUGGGAAGACAGCAGAUGGCUACAGUGGGCCAAAUCAGUGUUACAGAUGAUUUGUUGCUGUGGAUCGGAAAAAACGUUUUCCUCUCCCUAACACAAUUCUGCUGGUAACAACUCACAGAUACGUGCUCAAUGACCAAAGAAGAGCCCACACGCGGAGAGCCGGGGACCGGCUAUCAGCUUGCUAAGGGGAUUCAACAAAUAUUCAUUGAGUUAACAUCAAAACUCCCAAAGCUAUUAUUUUGUGAAGAUAAUUAGAUGUUCGAACUAUAAGAUGAAGAGCUGAAGAAAAGUAUUAAAAUGACUAAGCAAAAGUACAGGAGGCCUGGUUCCUGUACUGGACAUUUAAAUUGAUUUCCUUAUCUAUAGUAAAUAUGAAGAGGUCUGUGAGCCAUGUGAUUUUUUUUUCCUUAUUGAAAUUUAUCUCUUGCCUAACUCAGUUGACUUUGCCCAGCAAUACAUGCAGUUCAUUUGGCCCAGGGGAACUUGAUGAAGAGGAAAUGUGAAAAUGCCUAGCAAGAUCACGAUGGUUCUUUUAGAGUCUACUUAAAUGAAUGAAAUUAUGAGUAUUGCUAUCACUUAAGAAAAAUGUGCUUAGCAACAAAGUAUUGAAAAGGAAAUUGGAGUUACUGGAAGGUUGAUAAAGAUGAAUAAAUCUGAAAUCAUUUAUCUUGACCUUCAGUACUAUCAAUUUCUAAAAGCAAAACAAACAAAACAAAAAGUAUGAAACUCUGUAAAUUGAGUCUCUAUGUAGCUACCAUAUCUGCCGUGACUGGUUUCCUUAGUUGUCUCAUAAGAAAAUGACAACUAGACUAUUUAAUCCUAAAAAGUGUGAAUCAUCAGCCUCAGGAGAGCCACCUUAGGAAAACAAGGUGAGUCGUCCUCCCUUCCCUCCUCACUCUUUCCUUCCUCUUCUUUUCCCUAAGGCAGUUUAGGGACUAUUCAAAACAUUUUCCAUAACAUUGACCAUGUACACAAUCAAGAGAUCUAAUGGCAGAGUUGUUAGAUCAUUUAAGAGUAGUAGAGAGAAUAUUUUUAGAGAGGGGAGCAUUUCAGUAUCCAUAACACCCCUCAAAUUAUACAUUGUACAUAUACAUCUACUCCAGUUGCCCACAGGGCCAGCCUUAGUAGAAUAUACUCACUUUCUAGGUUUAAAUAGAAUUUUCUUGAUUUUCCAAUUUAAUAUAGAGUGAGUCAGUACAGGUGAAUUUUAAUUAGAUUCAACAAAAUGAUACGAUCCAUACAUUUAAUGUUGGCUUGUUAAGAUGGUCCUCAUAAUUGAGGUGGGGAUUGUUACUGACUGUAAGAUAGUGCAUAUUCACUACGGAGAUUCAAAAAGAGCAAUUCAGUUCAUUUUCAGGUAUUUCUUAGCUAAAAAAAUUGGUAAGACCAUCGUUGUUAGAAGCAUUUUAUUUAAUGGGAUAAAAGGCAGACCUUGAGACUAAUGUCAUAGUGUCAGUACAUUUCAUUAAUAAGGUUUUCCAAAUCGCAACUGUAAUUUGGGCUACUUUUGAGGGUGUGGCAACAUUAUAUAAGGGAAGUUCUUUAUCCCAAAGGGAAAAAUCAAAUUAUAGUUUAAAAAUUCAUUACCAAUAAUUAAUAAUGAACUCUAGCUAAACAAUAACAGGUGUUCUACUAAUCCCAAACAGAAACAGAUGGAAGCACAAAUGUUUUAUAAAUACUGGAUACACGCAGAGCAAUAAACUUGGCAGGAAUUGUUUUAUUCUCUAAUUGUCAGUCAGAGUCAGAGUCUUAUCACUUGCAUUUUCUCUAAAUUAAUGUACCCAGAUAAAAUCUUGUUUCUCAUUCCUUAUUUUUCAAAACACAGGCCAUAUUUAGUGCUCUCUGUACUGUGUCACCAACAAAAGUAAUAUAAAUUUUCCUUCUGUGCACUUAUGAAGGUUCAUAGAAUUUGUUACAUGAAACAACAGGCAUACCAUAUAGGUUUUUUUUCCCUUCUCCAACUUCUUCCUUUCCAUCCCCUGAAAGACUAAAAUACAGAAUUUCCCCCAAAAUACUGAUCUACAUAUUCCUGUAUUUCUUAGACAUUAUAGCAAUAAGCAUUCAAAAUAAUGAAUGUAGGUAGAUGAAAUAAAUUAGGAAGGUGGUUAGAAAGGUAACAACUGCUAGUACGAAAUAUAAUCCCAUAGCACUUGGUAAUGAUUUCCAGGAGUUAGAAUAUCAGAUAGUGCUACAGAUCUAAACUCAUGCCUAUUUAGAAAAUGUUCACAUGGGACAUUAGAAGAGUUUUCCUGUAUGGUUAAUAACAGAAUUCUCCUUAACUCAGGCAGAGAUGGUUUCACUGUUCCUUCUGAUCCUCAUUUGUUGUUGAAUUUUUGGAAAGAAAUGAUUAGCUUGUGACUGUUAAACUCUUAGCAUCUCUCAUUGACUUUGACAAUGUAUGGUUCCCUUUGUCCUGUGAUUUUCCUAGAAACUGCAUUCUACGAUCAAUUAGUAGCUCUAUGAAUAAUUUGGGGAGCACAAUGAACACAUUAUUUUCCUCAAGCAAAGGCAUUUAAAAACUUGUGCUCAUUAGUAUUUUUUUAAAUUUUUAUUUAUUUAUGAUAGUCACAGAGGGAGAGAGAGAGGCAGAGACACAGGCGGAGGGAGAAGCAGGCUCCAUGCACCGGGAGCCCGACGUGGGAUUCGAUCCCGGGUCUCCAGGAUCGCGCCCUGGGCCAAAGGCAGGCGCCAAACCGCUGCGCCACCCAGGGAUCCCUCAUUAGUAUUAUAGAUUCAUGUGCAUUACAAGGAAAUAGUUGAUCUUUUCGAAGGAAAAUAUGUGUAGAAUAUAACUUUUUAAAACCAUCACAGUUAAAUAAACUUGUCAGCAAAUCUGUUACCUAAAAUUGACUUAAUGUUGUAGAGAGAGCGAGAGUCAGUAAUGUUAAGUUUCUUUCAUGUGGGGUACUCACGCAGACAGGCUGUGCUAAAUUGAACGAUUUAAAGAAUAAAGUUAGAAUAAUAGUAUUUUAUGUAUCUAUUUAUAUGCUUGGUCAACAAAUUAGCAAGGUCGUGACUCUGACCUCAAUGUAAGGACACUGAAGACGAGGUGGGGUUCAAUGAUUUGCUUAUGGUACAAUACUAGAAAAGAAUGGGGUCUAGCAUUGCACCUGUAUUUACGUCCAAAGCCCUCUUUUUUCACUAUAUUAUUAAAUUAGUUUCCUGCAUGUUUCCAUUUAAUUUUACUAUGCUUUUAUACACAUAUGUUAACAAUCAUUUUUCCCAAAUGAGUCAUCAUCCAACUGAGUCACCAUACUUUUCAAUGAUUUCCAUUUCAGUUUCUAACUCAUAAGAAAGUAAACAAAAAAAAAAAAAAAAAAGAGUAAAAGGAUUUAAAAACUGAGGAAGAGGAGGGAGUGGAAAUUCACUUGAAUAAAUUAUGAGAAUUAACUCAAUUUUCCUGAGAGCCAAAAUUCUCAUGUUCUUCAAAUUUUCUAGGAGUAAAUGUGUUAUAUACUUAUUUUAAAUAUGAUGAUGCCAAUUUGCCAAUACAUGCAUAAAUGUAGUCAUAAAGUUUGAAGAAAUUUCCAUGAAAAUAGUUUAGAGCCAAAAUAUAAUUUGCUUUAAACAAUGAGCUUCAAUUAUUCUAAUGUUAAUUAUCUCCUUCCUUAACAAUACCAUCUUCUUAGAAUUGUUCCUCCAAAUAUAACAUAGUUCUUAUCAGUCUUUAAAUCUGCAAAAGACCAAGUAUAAGCAAUGGAGUCAUUCAUUCUUAGUUAAGAUAUUAGUAAAGAAUCCCUUGUUACACUCUAGGCAACAAUUAAAAAAAGAUAGGAGAGAUGAGAGAUAAAUUGCUUUCAGUAAAAAUACUUCCCCACUGUGUUAACUAUUAACUCCCAGGUUGACUAUUUCCAUCAAUAGUAGAUCCCUGGUGUGGCUAAUCUUGGUUCAUGUGAGAAAAAAAAUUUUUUUGAAACAAAUUAAAUAUUUGAAUUCUGAUGGAUUUAAUAUGAAUAUUUUUCACUACUGAAAAAAAAAAGGGAUACUUUUAUUGUCGGCGGCCUUAUAAGUUUACUCGAAAUAAAAUAAGAUGAUUCACCUCUUUGCUCCAAGAUAUUAUUAAAGAUAUUAGCAUUUUUUUGUAGAUGAAGAUAUUAGCAUAUUUUUUUUUAGCUUUCAGCCAACUUCAUUUGCAAUAGGCCAUGCGGUAAAAUUAAAGGCCCUAAUGCCAGUUAUUACUUCUGCUUUUUUACUGGCUUUAUUCUAGAUCUACACAUGCAUUAUGCAAUUUUUUUAAAUGAAAAUACAGUUUAGUGCACACACACACAAAAAAAACCAACUGUCUCAGAGACAAAGACUAUUAGAACAGACAAGCACAAAAAUUUUUU